rnacentral:rRNA from 1 species
UUUGUUUGGAGAGUUUGAUCCUGGCUCAGGACGAACGCUGGCGGCGUGCUUAACACAUGCAAGUCGAACGGAAAGGCCCUUUCGGGGGUGCUCGAGUGGCGAACGGGUGAGUAACACGUGGGUGAUCUGCCCUGCACUUUGGGAUAAGCCUGGGAAACUGGGUCUAAUACCGAAUAGGACCAUGGGAUGCAUGUCUUGUGGUGGAAAGCUUUUGCGGUGUGGGAUGGGCCCGCGGCCUAUCAGCUUGUUGGUGGGGUGAUGGCCUACCAAGGCGACGACGGG